rnacentral:rRNA from 1 species
ACGCUGGCGGCACGCCUAACACAUGCAAGUCGAACGAAGUAGCAAUACUUAGUGGCAGACGGGUGAGUAACAUGUAGGUAUCUGCCCUUUGGCCUGGAAUAACACGAGGAAACUUGUGCUAAUACCGGAUAAGUCUUUACGGAGAAAGCUUUAUGCACCAUUGGAUGAGCCUGCACUUGAUUAGUUUGUUGGUGGGGUAAUGGCCUACCAAGACUGUGAUCAAUAGCUGAUUUGAGAGGAUGAUCAGCCACAUUGGGACUGAGACACGGCCCAAACUCCUACGGGAGGCAGCAGUGGGGAAUCUUGCACAAUGGAGGAAACUCUGAUGCAGCGAUGCCGCGUGAGUGAAGAAGGCCCUUGGGUUGUAAAGCUCUUUCGUCGGGGAAGAAAAUGACUGUACCCGAAUAAGAAGGUCCGGCUAACUUCGUGCCAGCAGCCGCGGUAAUACGAAGGGACCUAGCGUAGUUCGGAAUUACUGGGCUUAAAGAGUUCGUAGGUGGUUGAAAUAGUUGGUGGUGAAAUCCCAGAGCUUAACUCUGGAACUGCCAUCAAAACUUUUCAGCUAGAGUAUGAUAGAGGAAAGCAGAAUUUCUAGUGUAGAGGUGAAAUUCGUAGAUAUUAGAAAGAAUACCAAAUGCGAAGGCAGCUUUCUGGAUCAUUACUGACACUGAGGAACGAAAGCAUGGGUAGCGAAGAGGAUUAGAUACCCUCGUAGUCCAUGCCGUAAACGAUGUGUGUUAGACGUUGGAAAUUUAUUUUCAGUGUCGCAGGGAAACCGAUAAACACACCGCCUGGGGAGUACGAC